GAAAAAAAGGCAGUACUAAUUAAUUAUCCAUCAUGGCUGUUCACAAGGAAGUUAAUUUCGUUGCUUACCUACUAAUUGUUCUUGGAUUAUUGGUACUUGUAAGCGCGAUGGAGCAUGUUGAUGCGAAGGCUUGCACUUUAGAAUGUGGUAAUCUUGGGUUUGGGAUAUGCCCACGUUCAGAAGGAAGUCCGGAAAAUCGCAUAUGCACCAACUGUUGUGCAGGUUAUAAAGGUUGCAAUUAUUAUAGUGCAAAUGGGGCUUUCAUUUGCGAAGGAGAAUCUGACCCAAAAAACCCAAAUGUUUGCCCCCGAAAUUGUGAUACAAAUAUUGCCUAUUCAAAAUGUCUCCGUUCAGAAGGAAAAUCGCUAAUUUAUCCCACCGGAUGUACCACAUGCUGCACAGGGUACAAGGGUUGCUACUAUUUCGGUAAAAAUGGCAAGUUUGUAUGUGAAGGAGAGAGUGAUGAGAACGACCCCAGGGUUUGUACUAAAGAAUGUGGUAAUCUUGGCUAUGGGAUAUGCCCACGUUCAGAAGGAAGUCCGGAAAAUCCCAUAUGCACCAAUUGUUGUGCAGGUUAUAAAGGUUGCAAUUAUUAUAGCGCUAUUGAGACUUUCAUUUGCAAAGGACAAUAUGACCCAAAAAGCCCAAAAGCUUGCCCCUGAAAUUGUGAUCCGUAUAUUGCUUAUUCAAAAUGUCCCAGUUCAGAAGGAUCGACUAUAAUUAAACCCACGGGAUGCACCACAUGUUGCACGGGGUACAAGGGUUGCUACUAUUUUGGUAAAGACGGCAAGUUUGUUUGUGAAGGAGAGAGUAUACAUUGAACCCAAGGCAUGUACCCUGGAAUGUGACUCUAGAGUUGCAUACAUGACUUGUCCAUGUUCAGAAGGAAGUCCGGAAAAUCCCAUAUGCACCAACUGUUGUGCAGGUUAUAAAGGUUGCAAUUAUUAUAGUGCUAAUGGGACUUUCAUUUGCGAAGGACAAUCUGACCCAAAAAACCCAAAAGCUUGCCCCCGAAAUUGUGAUCCACAUAUUGCCUAUUCAAAAUGUUCCCGUUCAAGAGGAAAGACACUAAUUUAUCCCACAGGAUGUACCACAUGUUGCACGGGGUACAAAGGUUGCUACUAUUUUGAUAAAGACGGCAAGUUUGUUUGUGAAGGAGAGAGUAUUGAACCCAAGGCAUGUACCCUGGAAUGUGACUCUAGAGUUGCAUACAUGACUUGUCCAUCUUCUGGAUUAGCCAAGUUGAAUCAAGUUUGUGUUAAUUGUUGCACUGCAGGAGAGGGUUGCAAACUCUAUGGAUAUGAUGGAUCUUUAAUUUGUACUGGGAAGUCAACUCAGGUAUCUACAAUGGCUCUUUACAAAGUUAGUUUCCUUGCUCACCUACUUUUUCUUGGAAUGUUUAUACUAGUAAGCAGGGUGGAACAUGUUAAUGCUUGUACGAAAGAAUGUGGUAAUCUUGGCUAUGGGAUAUGCCCAGGUUCAGAAGGAAGUCCAAAAAAUCCAAUUUGUACCAAUUGUUGUUCGGGCUAUAAAGGUUGCAACUAUUAUAAUGCUAAUGGAACUUUUAUUUGUGAAGGAACGUCUGAUCCCAAAAAUCCUAACACUUGCCCCUUAUAUUGUGAUCCACAAAUUGCCUAUUCAAAGUGUCCCCGUUCAGAAGGAAAGACGAUAAUUUAUCCCACGGGAUGUACCACGUGUUGCACGGGGUACAAGGGUUGCUACUAUUUUGGUCAAGAGGGGGAGUUUGUGUGUGAAGGAGAGAGUAUUGAACCCAAGGGUUGUACUCAAGAAUGUGACCCUAGAGUUGCCUAUGGAAUAUGUCCACGUUCAGAAGGAAGUCCAAGAAACCCCAUAUGUACCACAUGUUGUGCAGGCUACAAGGGUUGCAACUAUUAUAGCGCUAACGGAACUUUCAUUUGUGAAGGAAAAUCUGACCCAAGAAAGCCAAACGAACAUUGUCCCAAGGAAUGUGAUUAUAAAAUUGUUUAUUCAAAAGGACCGACUAUAAUUAAACCCACUGGAUGCACCACAUGUUGCACGGGGUACAAGGGUUGUUACUAUUACGGUAAAGACAACAAGUUUGUGUGUGAAGGACAGAGUGAUGAACCCAAGGCUUGUACUCAAAAAUGUGACCCUAAAGUUGCUUACGUGACUUGCCCACCUGAAUCAACAAAACUUACUCGAGUUUGUGUCAAUUGUUGUACCGCAAAACCAAGAUGCAAACUCUAUGGUCAUGAUGGAUCUUUAAUUUGUAUCGGAGGUGUUAAAGGUCAUUAUCCUUAUUAAUAUGUAUGAAAUAAAAGCAUGAUUAUAUACUUAUCAUUGUCAUGCUAAUCGCUGUAAUGUGGGCAAUGGAGCUUUUUCCACCACUUGCGCAAUAAAUUAAUAAAAUCUUUUACUUUGAA